rnacentral:lncRNA from 10 species
GAAAAACUUUUCAUAAUUACUCCCCAAAAUAUCUGCCAACUCUAACCUGAUAUCUUCAAUUUUACCCGAUGACUAAGAACUAUAGGAAGAGAGAGAUUUCUCAUUCUCAGAUCUAUUUUGACACUGUCCAAGUGAUAAUAGAAUCCAGUCGCUCCUCACACAGUCCCAGAGUCAGCCCUAGGGGGAAGGAGGCUCCCUGCUUGUAAGUAUUUCCUUCUUGCAAUUUCCCACACAGCAUGAUUCCCUAUAAACCACUUCCCAUUUUUAUUAUGAAACUUUUCUGGGCACUGCUAUCCCCAUUAAAAUGUUUCUCUUACAUCACCAUGACAACAUGGGUAUUUCAAGUUUCAAGAUUAUUUGAUGUCCUUUAGUCUUUGCAGUAGUUUCAAUUAAUAUCCAAUAGAAAGCUGAUAAUUGCCCCUUGAAAGGAUAUGGUUUAGUACAAAGUCCCAGUAGUCAUUGCUGGGAGGAACUCACAGGCUUUUUCCAUGAGUGCCAGUCUAGACUCUACAUAGGAUCUAGCACAAGAAUUUGUUCCUACCAAUAUUACAGCUUUAAUUCUAGACAGUGUGGGAUUGAGUGAUCUUAUUGGUUCCCAUUUAGCAUGCCCAAUUAAUAUUAUUCGUUUUUGUUUUUAAUUUUAAUCAAAUCUCCUUGAUGUUCUUUGAGUAUUACAUCUUAAAAGAUGGAAGACAGUGUGGCGGUUCCUCAAAGACCUAGAACCAGAAAUACCAUUUGACCCAGCAAUCCCAUUACUGGAUAUAUACCUAAAAGAUUAUAAAUUAUUCUACUAUAAAGACACAUGCACAUGUAUGUUUACUGAAGCACUAUUUACAAUAGUAAAGACUUGGAACGAACCCAAAUGCCCAUCGAUGAUAGACUGGAUAAAGAAAAUGUGGCAUAUCUACACCAUGGAAUACUAUGCAGCCAUCAAAAAGAAUGAUAGGAUUGCAGGGAAAUGUAUGAAGCUGGAAGCCAUCAUUCUCAGCAAACUAACACUGGAACUGAAAACCAAACACCACAUGUUCUCACUUUUAAGUGAGAGUUGAACAAUGAGAAUAUGUGGACACAGGUAGGGGAACAUCACACACUGGGGCCUGUUGUGGGGUGAGGGGCAAGGGGUGGGAGAGCAUUAGGACAAAUACCUAAUGCAUGCAAGGCUUAAAACCUAGAUGACAGGUUGAUGGGUGCAGCAAACCACCAUGGCACAUGUAUACCUAUGUAACAAACCUGCACAUUCUGCACAUGUAUGUUAUCGAAAACAUAGGAGUAAACCUUUAUGACCUUGGGUUAGGCAAUUACCUUAGCUAUGACAUCAUCUCGGAUAUGUCAUCUUAUGUUUGACAGAAUUUCUUUUGGGGGUAAUGAAACAUUCUAAAAUUGAUUUUGAUGAUUGUACAACUCUGUGAAUAUACUAAAGAGUAUUGACUUAAACAAUUUGAAUUACCACCUACAAUGGUAUAUGAAAUACAUCUCAAUAAAGCUGUUAGUAAUCACAUUUUAAAGAUUUAAUUUAUAUUAAACAACCAGAUAUAUAAAAUUCUGGUUCAUAUCUUUAGUAAAUAUUGGGAUAUGGGGGGAAAUAUAGAGAAAAUAGAGCAAAAAUUCUGGCUAAAUGAAAAAUGAAUGUGUGAGUAUACUGAGACAACAAUGUAUUAUGUAAAAAGAUAUCAAAUAAAUCAGCUAAAAUUUCAACUUUAUCCUUCUAUUUUCCAUGGCGUGGUAAGAUACAGUUUAUUCCCUCUAAACAUUGUCAUUCUCCCAUUGUGAAAUAUAUUGCUAUACCUAUUUAGUGACAUAAACACAGAGCUCCAAAAACUUUACCUAAAUAAGUAAACUGAUUUCAUCUUGCUAGUGGUAACAAUUCCCUUUGAUUUGCAAGUUAAUCUGAACCACUCCUAUAAGAAUAACCUUUUGUUAUUAGGUGUGCCUACUGGGCCAGCUCUGUGGGCAAACCUUGUUUACCCACAGAAAAUAAAGAUGAAUGAAUAAGUACAGACAGAAGAUUUCAAAUUAUCACCCAAGCUGCAUCACGUGCCUUCAAAUCUCUUUUAAAGUUACAGGUUAUAUAUAUUUUUUUCAUUUGGUUUAAGAACUCAAAGAGAUUUCAGUGAAUAUAUGGUCAUAAUUUUGUUGCAGAAAUACCUGGUAAUUUUACAAAUUACAUAGACCAUUUGGAAUAUAUUUUCUGCUUUGGUAAUGAGUCCACUUAUAUCGCUGAAGUUAUGCAUGUUAGUUCCACAUUUUACAUUAUUUAAUCUACUUUCCACACUCCUCAUUUUCUAUAGAAUGUGUUUUUUUCCAAAUUAUAAUUUGUCAAUAAAUGCUGAUAUUCUUAAUUUAUACUCACAGAGUUCCUGAGUUUAUUAAUAGAAAUACACAUUUGUAUGCUAUGUCAAAAUAUUUGGCUCUGUAAACUCCCUCUAUUAUUGUGAAACUGAAUUAAUACAAAGUCUACUAAUCAGAAAUCUGGAAGAAACUCUUUGGUAAAAUAGAAUUAGCACAGGUUUUGGAAUCAGGGAGACUGGUGUUAAAAAAAAUUGGGUUCAACCCUUUAUUAUUUGAGAGACAUAAACAAAGUACUUAAAUACUUUAGAGCCAC